AAAUGCAUCCAAAACCAAGAAUAAUGCUUAUAAGAAAAAUUAUUAUAAUAAAUUUCUCAUUAGAAAAAUCUUAACACAAAUCAAAACAAAUCAAAAUAAUAUAGCUGUGCAACAGAAUAUAUGAAAAGUUAGCAAGGAUAUAAACAUACUCACCUUUUUCCUUCCCCUAUCCUCUGGUUAAGUGGUACUUAAAAGAAUUAUCUGGGAUAGUCAAUGUAGUUAUAUUUUCAAGAGAAGCUGUUUCAAAAUUCCUCAGGUUAAGUUUUCAAAGCAAAAUACAGUUUUUAUUUUACUGUAAAAUAAAAAACAUGAACAAAGAUCUCCACUAUUUUUCUCUUAAAUAAGCUCUCAACUCUUUGGUUCCCGAAAUAAAACUUAUUUUCCUUUCUUUCUCACCCUCUGAAAUUUUAGCAGACCUCUGGCUCCUUUCCCUAGAAUUCUCCAUAUCUUUAUCUUAAAUCCUAAACUGAGAAGAAUGUGCUCACCUAUACCACACAAGCAAAGGAAACCAGAAACGUACCAAAUACCGUCUGCCAGGUUUAUUUCGUCAAUCAAUGUAGAAUUGUCUGGUACUUACCACAUUCUCAAAAGCAGAAGAUUAUAGAGUUUAUCUUCAGUAUUGUUUCGUGGAACAGCCAUAAGAAAAGGCUGACCAAAAAGUGAAGAACCAGUAUGGUGGGUGUAACUUGAGUGUCUAAACUUUUCUCUUAGGCAAAUAGGAAUAAUCACAUGCUCUGUAUCUUCUGUCCUAUUGAUGUUAAUUUCAAACCUACAAGGACAAAACUGACCAUAAAUUCUCAAAAUUUUAUGAUAUUUCUUUUGAAUUUUUUCACAAAUAAUAUUUUGCACAAUGAAUUUUAUACUUACACAUAAAUAUCAUCUCGUUCCACAAUACUACUAAGGUUUUCAUCCAUAGCGAAUAUUCUGUGAAAUCUAUGAUUGUAUAUAUCAGUAACUAUCAUCUAAAAGGAAAUAAAUUUCUAUUAAGCUGGCUUUACAACACUGAAAAACUAAACACCAAGUUAUAUACUUUAACCCAGAAACAUCUUACCUUAUCUGCAGGUACUCCUGACAAAGCAGACAAUGCUGUACAAAGAUCUAGUAUGUUUCCAAUUUUGGGGACAACCACUUUGUACUAAAAAAAAAAACAAA